rnacentral:rRNA from 1 species
GUCUACGGCCGCGCCACCCUGAACGAGCCUGAUCCCGUCUGAUCUCGGAAGCUAAGCAGGGUCGGGCCUGGUUAGUACUUGGAUGGGAGACCACUUGGAAGACCAGGUGCCGUAGGCG